UACGGAGGGGGCUAGCGUUGUUCGGAAUUACUGGGCGUAAAGCGCGCGUAGGCGGCGAUACAAGUCAGAGGUGAAAGCCCGUGGCUCAACCACGGAAUUGCCUUUGAAACUGCAUUGCUGGAGUGUCGGAGGGGAUAGCGGAAUUGCUAAUGUAGAGGUGAAAUUCGUAGAUAUUAGCAGGAACACCAGUGGCGAAAGGCGGCUCACUGGCCCGGUACUGACGCUGAGGUGCGAAAAGCGUGGGGGAGCAAACAGG
rnacentral:rRNA from 1 species